GGCGCCGUCGCCAAGUGGUAAGGCAGAGGUCUGCAAAACCUCGAUCCCCGGUUCAAAUCCGGGCGGCGCCUCCA
rnacentral:tRNA from 1 species